GAGCUUCUGCAGCACAUAUACUAAAACUGGAAUGAGAUAGAGAAGAUCAGCAUGACCCCUGCACAAGAGUGACAUGCAAAUUCAUGAAGCAUUCCAUAUUUUA